GAUGAACGCUGACAGAAUGCUUAACACAUGCAAGUCUUUGGCGAAGCUGUGCUUGCACAGCCUAGCCAAGGCGGACGGGUGAGUAACGCGUAAGGAACUUGCCCUGCAGUCAGGGAUAACAGACGGAAACGACUGAUAAGACCUGGUAAAGUCAGGCGGACUCAUGUCCAGCCUGAUGAAAAGAGAUGCUGCAGGAGAGCCUUGCGUCCUAUUAGCUUGUUGGUGGGGUAACGGCCCACCAAGGCGAUGAUAGGUAGCCGGCCUGAGAGGGUGGACGGCCACAAGGGACUGAGAUACGGCCCUUACUCCUACGGGAGGCAGCAGUGGGGAAUAUUGGACAAUGGGGGCAACCCUGAUCCAGCAAUUCUGUGUGCACGAUGAAGGUUUUCGGAUUGUAAAGUGCUUUCAGCAGGGAAGAAAAAAAUGACGGUACCUGCAGAAGAAGCGACGGCUAAAUACGUG
rnacentral:rRNA from 1 species